CAGUUGCUUCUACAAAACCAGUCAAAGUCCUGUGUCCAACAGCCUUGUUGGUCCAGCGGUACCUGCUUCCUGUUCCCAGAGAGAUUCACCCUUGGGCUUUCCUAUCAGUCUUCCCUAAAGUUGGCUGCUCCUGUGUCCUGUCACAUAAAACUGUGAACCGAGGUCUCUGACUUACGUCAUGUCAGUCACAGCAGGGUGAGGCUCCACAAGUGUGAGUUCUGGCCCCUGCUGCUUUCCUUUCAAACGCAGUUUAUGGUUUAUUAUGGUAUUGGACACCGCAUGCUCCUUACUGCAUUGGCUUUGGGUAAGAAAGAGUGAAAAUUAGUGUGCAAACCCUGAAAACCAAAAUUUCUGAUUAGGGCUGAAGAAAACCUUCGUGCUGCAGUCAGUCUCUGAGCCAGAAGCCUGUGACUCUCUUCACAUGGAAAUAGAUGAACAUCCACAGUAAAAGCAAAAUUAAAAAGUUAUUUGUGAAAAAUAUCCUCCAUGCUCCUCUUACCAAGCCUACAACUUAAAACCUAUGGUUUAAACUGUACUUUCAAUUAUUUGGAGGAGGCCAGCACUGAGGAGCCCAUCCUGAGCCAGUCAUUUUAAGGCCAGUGC